rnacentral:rRNA from 1 species
GACGAACGCUGGCGGCGUGCUUAACACAUGCAAGUCGAGCGGAAAGGCCCUUCGGGGUACUCGAGCGGCGAACGGGUGAGUAACACGUGAGUAAUCUGCCCUUGGCUUUGGGAUAACUACCGGAAACGGUGGCUAAUACCGGAUACGACAACCGUCUGCAUGGGCUGGUUGUGGAAAGUUUUUUCGGCCAGGGAUGUGCUCGCGGCCUAUCAGCUUGUUGGUGGGGUAAUGGCCUACCAAGGCUUCGACGGGUAGCCGGCCUGAGAGGGUGACCGGCCACACUGGGACUGAGACACGGCCCAGACUCCUACGGGAGGCAGCAGUGGGGAAUAUUGGACAAUGGGCGGAAGCCUGAUCCAGCAACGCCGCGUGAGGGAUGACGGCCUUCGGGUUGUAAACCUCUUUCAGUACCGACGAAGCGCCGAUGAUGGUGGUGACGGUAGGUACAGAAGAAGCACCGGCCAACUACGG